UUUGUUUUCUAACCCGAAUACGUCCGCGCGACUUAUCUCUGUUAUCAAAAUACAUAACUGUGUGCGUUUGUGUGCGCGCCCGCGCAUCCCGAUAAAUAAAAAAUAAAUAAAUAAACAAAGAUAAAAAAACAUAAACAUCGCGGGCUAAUGAGCGGGCGCGCCACGCAAAACAAACUAUUAGUACAUAAAAAUAUCAUGUGCCGACUGCAUAUGCGUUUACACGCGUAUAAUUGUUUUGAACAUUACGACGGUAUCAUUUGCAGCGCUUACGAGCUACAACGGACACGGGAUGGGGAGGGGGG